CCAGAUAAUAACAGGGACCCGAGUGGGUGACAAGAUAUAUAUUCCAAGAAUAAUCAUUCUCAAGAGUUACAAAAGGGACAGACUACGGGUAUUGGUAGAUGACUCGAUGAUAGCAAAGAGGACGAUGCAGUCAAGACAUAGUCUAUAAAGAAAUUUUCUGAAGUGAACUGGUCGCUUCUUGUGAAUUCACUCACUGACAGCAGUGCCUGACGGACAAUAUUGAUGAACUGCUGGUUCUUGUAUGGUGCUGCAGCGAUCGUGCCGGAAUUUAGGGUGAAGCCCAGUAGAAAGGGGACAGCGCGACUGCGUGAGUCGGUUCAUACCUUCGUGGUAGCCGGCAGGGAGUGGCGAGCGCCGAGCAGGAGGGCAGACGGGCGCCGGGAGUCUGGCGACGGCGAGCAAGAGAUUGAUCCCGAGCAAGGGCGGAAUGAAGAGGAAGAGGAGCUGUUCGCGUUGGACGGUGUC